GAUGAAGAACGUAGCGAAAUGCGAUAAGUAGUGUGAAUUGCAGAAUUCAGUGAAUCAUCGAAUCUUUGAACGCACAUUGCGCCCCUUGGUAUCCCGAGGGGCAUGCCUGUUCGAGCGUCAUUUCACCACUCAAGCCUGGCUUGGUGUUGGGCGACGUCCUCUUUGGGGACGCGCCUCGAAACGCUCGGCGGCGUGGCACCGGCUUUAAGCGUAGCAGAAUCUUUCGCUUUGGAGGUCGGGGCCCCGUCUGCCGGAAGACCUGCUCGCAAGGUUGACCUCGGAUCAGGCAGGGAUACCCGCUGAACUUAAGCAUAUCAAUAAGCGGAGGA
rnacentral:misc_RNA from 1 species